rnacentral:rRNA from 1 species
UACGGAGGAUCCAAGCGUUAUCCGGAAUCAUUGGGUUUAAAGGGUCCGUAGGCGGUUUGGUAAGUCAGUGGUGAAAGCCCAUCGCUCAACGGUGGAACGGCCAUUGAUACUGCCAGACUUGAAUUAUUAGGAAGUAACUAGAAUAUGUAGUGUAGCGGUGAAAUGCUUAGAGAUUACAUGGAAUACCAAUUGCGAAGGCAGGUUACUCUAAUGGAUUGACGCUGAUGGACGAAAGCGUGGGUAGCGAACAGGAUUAGAACCUC